rnacentral:rRNA from 1 species
UACGUAGGGUGCGAGCGUUAAUCGGAAUUACUGGGCGUAAAGCGUGCGCAGGCGGUUCGUCGUGUCCGAUGUGAGAGCCCCGGGCUCAACCUGGGAAUGGCAUUGGAAACUGGCGGACUCGAGUGCGGCAGAGGGGGGUGGAAUUCCGCGUGUAGCAGUGAAAUGCGUAGAGAUGCGGAGGAACACCGAUGGCGAAGGCAGCCCCCUGGGCUAACACUGACGCUCAGGCACGAAAGCGUGGGGAGCAAACAGG